GAUGAACGCUGGCGGCGUGCCUAAUACAUGCAAGUCGAGCGAACAGAUAAGGAGCUUGCUCCUUUGACGUUAGCGGCGGACGGGUGAGUAACACGUGGGUAACCUACCUAUAAGACUGGGAUAACUUCGGGAAACCGGAGCUAAUACCGGAUAAUAUUUCGAACCGCAUGGUUCGAUAGUGAAAGAUGGUUUUGCUAUCACUUAUAGAUGGACCCGCGCCGUAUUAGCUAGUUGGUAAGGUAACGGCUUACCAAGGCGACGAUACGUAGCCGACCUGAGAGGGUGAUCGGCCACACUGGAACUGAGACACGGUCCAGACUCCGACGGGAGGCAGCAGUAGGGAAUCUGCCGCAAUGGGCGAAAGCCUGACGGAGCAACGCCGCGGGAGUGAUGAAGGUCUUCGGAUCGUAAAACUCUGUUAUUAGGGAAGAACAUACGUGUAAGUAACUGUGCACGUCUUGACGGUACCUAAUCAGAAAGCCACGGCUAACUACGU
rnacentral:rRNA from 1 species